UAGGGAAUCUUCCGCAAUGGACGCAAGUCUGACGGAGCAACGCCGCGUGAGUGAAGAAGGAUUUCGGUUCGUAAAACUCUGUUGUUAGAGAAGAACAGCGCAUAGAGUAACUGUUAUGCGUGUGACGGUAUCUAACCAGAAAGCCACGGCUAACUACGUGCCAGCAGCCGCGGUAAUACGUAAGGUCCGAGCGUUGUCCGGAAUCAUUGGGCGUAAAGGGUACGUAGGCGGGUAAGCAAGUUAGAAGUGAAAUCCUGUAGCUCAACUACAGUAAGCUUUUAAAACUGCUCAUCUUGAGGUAUGGAAGGGAAAGUGGAAUUCCUAGUGUAGCGGUGAAAUGCGCAGAUAUUAGGAGGAAUACCGGUGGCGAAGGCGACUUUCUGGCCAUAAUCUGACGCUGAGGUACGAAAGCGUGGGUAGCAAACAGG
rnacentral:rRNA from 1 species